rnacentral:rRNA from 1 species
UACGGGGGGGGCAAGCGUUGUUCGGAAUUACUGGGCGUAAAGGGCUCGUAGGCGGCCAACUAAGUCGGAUGUGAAAUCCCCAGGCUUAACCUGGGAACUGCAUCCGAUACUGGAUGGCUUGAAUCCGGGAGAGGGAUGCAGAAUUCCAGGUGUAGCGGUGAAAUGCGUAGAUAUCUGGAGGAAUACCGGUGGCGAAGGCGGCAUCCUGGACCGGCAUUGACGCUGAUGCACGAAAGCGUGGGGAGCAAACAGG